GAUGAACGCUGGCGGCGUGCCUAAUACAUGCAAGUCGAGCGAACAGACGAGGAGCUUGCUCCUCUGACGUUAGCGGCGGACGGGUGAGUAACACGUGGAUAACCUACCUAUAAGACUGGGAUAACUUCGGGAAACCGGAGCUAAUACCGGAUAAUAUGUUGAAUCGCAUGGUUCAACAGUGAAAGACGGUCUUGCUGUCACUUAUAGAUGGAUCCGCGCCGCAUUAGCUAGUUGGUAAGGUAACGGCUUACCAAGGCAACGAUGCGUAGCCGACCUGAGAGGGUGAUCGGCCACACUGGAACUGAGACACGGUCCAGACUCCUACGGGAGGCAGCAGUAGGGAAUCUUCCGCAAUGGGCGAAAGCCUGACGGAGCAACGCCGCGUGAGUGAAGAAGGUCUUCGGAUCGUAAAACUCUGUUAUUAGGGAAGAACAAAUGUGUAAGUAACUAUGCACGUCUUGACGGCACCUAAUCAGAAAGCCACGGCUAACUACGUG
rnacentral:rRNA from 1 species